GAAUAUUGGACAAUGGGCGCAAGCCUGAUCCAGCCAUGCCGCGUGUGUGAAGAAGGCCUUCGGGUUGUAAAGCACUUUAAGUUGGGAGGAAGGUUUCUUGGUUAAUACCCAAGAGAAUCGACGUUACCAACAGACACAGCACCGGCUAAUUCCGUGCCAGCAGCCGCGGUAAUACGUAAGGUGCGAGCGUUAAUCGGAAUUACUGGGCGUACAGCGCACGUAGGUGGCUUCUUAAGUCGGAUGUGAAAGCCCUGGGCUUAACCUGGGAAUUGCAUCCGAUACUGGGUGGCUAGAGUACGGUAGAGGGAGGUGGAAUUCCAGGUGUAGCGGUGAAAUGCGUAGAGAUCUGGAGGAACACCGGUGGCGAAGGCGGCCUCCUGGACUGAUACUGACACUGAGGUGCGAAAGAGUGGGGAGCAAACAGG
rnacentral:rRNA from 1 species